GGUUGAAUGUUAUGUUUGAUUAAUUUCUGACAUCAAACAGCUCAAAUUUGGGUAUAAAACAUGAAUUCAGUUUUUCUUUUGCCUAAUAAAUAAUGUAUUGAACACAACGAGGGAGAGAGCUGGGCUGAAGCUUCGUAGAAGUAAACUGCUUCUGGACUUCCUCCCAAACAGCCCUCAGUAAGGUGGAAGUCCAAUAAGUAGGAGUUUGUGUAUUUAGAUGUAAAGUAACAAAGUAACAAAACAGUAGUACUUUGUAUGCAGACAUAUGGUGGAUAUGAGAAGAGUAUGAACAUACGUUUAAAAAAGUAUUCUUCACUGUCAUUGGUGUGGAUGUGGAGUGAUGUGUAUUGUCAGGUUGGGUUUUAAAGAUGUGCAGGACUGGGUCUGUGUGACCGCCUCCUCUGUGUGACACACUUUUCAGUACUAGAAAGCAUUAUUAAUGGUAUUUCCUGUGGGAUUUGUAUGCAUUUAGAAUAUAGAUAGUCAUGGAAAUGUGCCUACCUUUUUUCACCGAGCACACUUAAGACAUGGCACAAAUUCAUCACGGUGAAUGCCCCCGUGAUAUCCCAUAAUAUUCCCCAGGACAACACUCAGAGGAAGUUUUUCCUUUGCGAGGCGAGACAGCAGAGUCUGACCGAACGGCUGAAGUGUGUACACUUAGGUGUGCCUGUAACAUGGGUGGAGAACGGGCACCAAGGAGGACCACUCUCAAAAAAAGGCAUUUCUAAUCCUGUCCAUCCGGGUCACUCCCAAUGAAGCUCUGAGCCUCUUCAACUCCAAUCUAUGCCUCCACCUCCGAGCCAUCACAGCAGACUUGCAGUGCAUACUUUGACUUCUCCAGGCUCUCAUCCACCUGCCGGCUCCUCGUUACAGAUCGCAAUGUUGUCUGCAAACAUCAUAAUUCAUAGAGACUCCUGCCUGACCUUAUCUGUCAGCCUGUCCAUCACCAUUGCACCCCAAAGCAAAACCCACAUCGUUCCGAUAUUCUGGAACUCCUUAGGAUCAGAUACAGGAUCAAACUGGACUCUAUCCUGUUAUUUUUGUCCAGUAUAAAUGAUACAAAAAAGCAUUUCCUGUUAUUCUUUACUAACCACCAUGUAAUGUGUUUAUGUGUAAUAAAACAUAAUAGCACAUUAAA